rnacentral:rRNA from 1 species
AUUGAACGCUGGCGGAAUGCUUUACACAUGCAAGUCGAACGGCAGCACGGACUUCGGUCUGGUGGCGAGUGGCGAACGGGUGAGUAAUGUAUCGGAACGUGCCCAGUCGUGGGGGAUAACGUAGUGAAAAUUACGCUAAUACCGCAUACGAUCUAUGGAUGAAAGCGGGGGAUCGCAAGACCUCGCGCGAUUGGAGCGGCCGAUAUCAGAUUAGGUAGUUGGUGGGGUAAAGGCCCACCAAGCCAAAGAUCUGUAGCUGGUCUGAGAGGACGGCAAGCCACACUGGAACGGAGACACGGUCCAGACUCCUACGGGAGGCAGCAGUGAGGAAGUAUGGACAAGGGGCGAAAGCCUGAUCCAGCCAUUCCGCGUGCAGGAUGAAGGCCCUCGGGUUGUAAACUGCUUUUGUACAGAACGAAAAGGUUUCUACUAAUACUAGGAGCUCAUGACGGUACUGUAAGAAUAAGCACCGGCUAACUACGUGCCAGCCGCCGCAGUAA